rnacentral:rRNA from 1 species
AUGUGGGGUUUAAGUGACCCGACGACGAAGCAGCUGCAGGAAUGGGAGGCGUGUGUCCACUGUGACGUGGCAGGCCGCUGUUCGGGGAUGACCGCCGGCAGGGUGCCGGCGGUAGCUCAGUGCGCGAGCUGUGGCUGCUACUCCACGAGUGGGAGAAGGGAGCGAACAGAUGGCUAUGGCGAUAAUAAUGAGUAUGACAAUGGGGGGCCAGUUAUUGACGUGGGUGGAAAAAUUGUCGUAAUGGUCAAAGUCCCUAAGAGAUUUGGGUUUUUCAUACCUUCUUCCAUUUUGCUCAAUUGUUUGGAUUCAUGGAAGAAAUAUCCCCACAUCACCCGGCCCCAUCUUGGAAUGAUGUUUAAAGACAUCAAACUUCUAGAACCUGCUCAUGUUGACAUGUUAUGGCGUACGUUUAACAUUGAUGAUGGUCUUAUUGUUCAAGAGGUAGGAUCUCCUACUGAGAAAUUUGGAAUCCAAAAAGGUGAUAUUAUUGAAUCUUUCAACGGAAAGCCUAUUUCUUCCACAAUUGAGUUGGAAAAUACGCUGAUGAGCAUAUACAAAGGCCCUUUAGAAUCUGAAGUUCAUAUUUCUGUCCUACAAACUCUUGAACUGGCUGCCAAGUCGAGGAAGGAUGUUUCUAUGUUGUGUUGUAUUGUGAUGCAUAUUUACCUGUGA